rnacentral:rRNA from 1 species
GACGUAGGGGGCCAGCGUUGUUCGGAAUUACUGGGUGUAAAGGGUUCGUAGGCGGUGUGGCAAGUCGGGGAGUGAAAUCUCUGGGCUCAACCCAGAGUCUGCUUCCGAAACUGCUGUGCUUGAGUGCAGGAGAGAAGAGUGGAAUUCCACGUGUAGCGGUGAAAUGCGUAGAGAUGUGGAGGAACACCAGUGGCGAAGGCGACUCUUUGGUCUGUAACUGACGCUGAGGCGCGAAAGCGUGGGGAGCAAACAGG